UCCCUCUAAGCUGCGCGCGUGCGCAAUCGCGCACUGCCCGCACAUUCUCAGCGCACAAGAAAAUCUAUCCAGCGCAUAAACAACAUCAACAUAACGUAUUAAUUCAUAUCUAAUAUUAGACCUAAUCUAAUCUAAUUAAUUCGCCCAAUAAUAUUGUUUUUUUGUUUCUCACUCAGUGAGUGACAGGUGUCCAGCCAAUGAUACGAUACGGUUCACUUACGGUACGAAGCCAAUCAUGGCAUUGACGGUGCUUGCGUCUGGGCCCUGCCUAUAUGCGCCGUGCAGGUUAGCUAGCAGGUUAAUAGAUGCUAAUACAAACCCCGCAUCAUGGCGAAACGAACAGGCAGCGACACAUCCACUCAGCAAGCCACAGUAAAAAAGAAAUGCAGUUCUUUUAAGAUGGAAUGGCUGUCGGAGUAUGUGCAAAUUGAAGAAAAAGCGGUGAAAUUGGGUGAGAUUUUCUUUUUCAAGUGAGAAAGGUCUACUCUGCAAAACAUGCAGCGAUGCCAAAGUAGCAAGUGAGUUUUCAGAGGGAAAAAUGUGGACUGAAUGGAAGCUGGACUAUCUCAAGCGUCACGUUCAGCAUAAAAGUCAUUUAAAAGCUGUCGAAACUGUACGAAGACUCAAGAUGGGACAGGGGAUUGGUACAUUAUUGCGGGAGAGCGCAAAAGAGCGAGAGAAAAGGAACGAGCUACAUAUUUGUGCUACAUUUCAAGCUUCCAGUGCCGACUGUGAAAGAGGAUUUAGUUUAAUGAAUCAUAUCAAAACAAAAUCCAGAAAUCGUCUUGAAGUGACACAUUUGGACCAGCUGAUGCGCAUAAAGUCAAAGCAAGAAGCAGACGAAGCCAUCAACCUGGACAAAGUGUACAACCAUUGGAGAAGUGAGAAGGACAGACGUGAAAAAUAAGAACAGGACCCUCAGCCAGGCAAAGCAGGACUCUUCCCAUGGCCAAAGCAGGACUCUCACAUACUGUAUAACAUCUACACAUCCCAUUUUUCAGAUUUUUGUCUUUUUUUAAGUGGACCAAAUUACUUAUUUAAAAAUAAAGCGUGCAUAUCUAAUGUUG